rnacentral:lncRNA from 1 species
CUCUGCUGGUGACCAAAACCUAAAUUGUAGCAGACAAAACACAGUCUUUUAUCAUGAAACAACAUAAACCAGAGCAGAAAUUUAAGGUUCUUCUCUUUUGAAAACUCAGAAUGUCUUUCAAAUAUCUUACCCAUGUGUAACACAUUCUGGAAAUUUUAACCCAAUUUCAUAAUGAGUGUAGACUUGAGAACAGACAUAGUUUAAAGACCAGACAUACUUAUAAGUUAAUUAGAUCUAUGCCUCUCAGGGAUAUAGCAGUGUUCUUAUUCUACAUAUACAUGAAGAAUUUAUAUUUUCACACCAGUAGGAAGUAUACCUACAUUAAGCCUUGGCAACAUGGCCAAACUCAUCUCUACAAAAUAUCAAAAAUUAGCCGGGCAUGAUGGCUCAUACUUGUAUUCCCAGCUACUCAGCAGGCUGAGGUGAAAGGAUCUCUUGAGCCAGGGGAGGUUGAGGCUGCAGAAAGCCGUGAUUGUACCACUGCACUUCAACUUGGGUGACAGAGUGAGACCCUGUCUCAGAAGAAGAAGAAAGAGGAAAGAAGAAAGAAGGAAGAAGAAGAAAAGAAGUAUACCUGCAUAUUAUAUAGAACAAGCUGCAGUGAGGACCUGAUAGUCAAAAUUACUUGGAGGAAAAUCACAGCUCUUCUCCCCUAGAAAGUCUGCUGAGUCUCACCAGGAGAAUCUCACAGGGAGGCUGCCACGAAUUCUCUCUGCAAGGACUGUGAAACUCAGGUCUGCUGGAGUUUGCUGGAGGUCCAUUCCAGACUCUGUUUGCCUGGGUAUCAGCAGCAGAGGCUGCAGAACAGCAAAGAUUGCUGCCUGCUCCUUCCUCUGGAAGCUUUGUCCCAGAGGGGCACCUGCCAGAUAGAUGCCAGCCGGAGCUCUGCUGUAUGAGAAUUGCUGAUGGAAUUUUGUGCAUCUGUCCUGUUGGAGAGAGGAAUUUUUCACUGGAGAAAGCUCAAGCAUGAAGGCUGAAUGGUGGAAGAAGUAGGCUCUGAUGGACAUUACAGUUUAUCCCUCCAGAUCCACUUUCCUUCCCCAGGCCACGCUCCAUCCUGCUCUGUGCUUCACCAAGUUGGCCUGUAUGGGCUAUGCUGGUGGCUUCUUUGCAUUCUGUCCUUUGGUUGGGCCUAGCCAAUGAGAGGCACUGGUAAGGGAUGAGAGGGUGGAGAAGAAUGAGGUUGCAUUAUAUAUUCUCUAAGCUCAUUCUCUGGUGGCCUGCCACGAAUUGGCCACCUCACUCCACCAAAAGUAGUUCUUUCUGUCAGGUAGCCCUUUCUAUGAAACUACUCUCUUUGAGUUCAAGCAACUUCUUCCUCCUCUUACACUUUAGAUCAAGGGGUGGUAACAGCUCCUAGCCCUUGCUAGCCUGAGAUUGCUGUACAAAUUUACUGGUUUUCUUGAUGUCUGCCUACACAUUAUUAAACUCUUCUCAUUA